CCGAAUUAUUAAUUAAAAAAUCAUUUCAACCAAAAUUUCUAUUCCUCCUCCCGAAUUCGCCCUAAUUUCUUCGUCCAAUCUCCGUCGCGUGGGGAUCGAGGAGGACUACGCCGCGUGGAGAUCGAGGACGCCGAGGAACUUUUUUCCUCUCGUUUCUCGCCGAUUCUCUCCGCCGUUGCCGGGAUCGCAAGAGUUCUGGAAGCAAAACGACCCGAUGAGAUUCUUCAAGGGGAGCAAGGUGGAAGUAUUGCAGGAGGCGGAGGUGCCCCUUGGUUCUUGGAGGCCUGCUGAGAUCGUCUCCGGCAAUGGACACAGCUACCUUGUGAGAUAUCAUCAAAGUCCGGUUGACUCUACUGUUGCUGUUGAACGGGUGCCAAGAAGGUUGAUGAGACCUUGCCCCCCUCCUUCGGAUGAUCUAGUAUGCUGGGCUGUGGGUAGUAUCCUUGAGGCCUUUGACAGCUACUCGUGGAAGGUUGCUGAGGUGGUGAGAGUGCUUGGCAAGAAUCACUAUCUCGUCAGGCUCCUCGGGUCCUCACUGGAGUUGAAGGCGCAUGCAUUGGAUCUUCGAUUGAGGAAGCUUUGGCAAGAUGACAAAUGGAUCGUGACUCAGAAGUAUCCUGCAAGAUGCUCAGAUGGUUCAUUCAGAGGUCGACCAAAAGAUGGAAGUUUCGGUUACAACUUGGGCAAGAACCAGCAAUUGCAUUGUGCAAUGGACCAGAAUGCUUUUGAGGGUGAUAUGUCUAGAGGCAUGAAGAGAAAAUUGUCUGCUCUGUCAACACAUCCUCCUCAGUGCAGUGAAAUCACUAAGAGAUUGCAGACUCCACAUAGAGAUGGAAGACACUCAAAGCUGGUUGAUAGAGGUUCUCUCCGUUUGUCUGAAAAGGGCCGAGGUUGGAGGCUUGUAAAGCAUCCUUCCGUAGGUUCAUGUAGAUGGAGGAGUCUGCCACAUGGUUUGCAAUGUGAUAAAUGUGGCAACAUUUCCAUCGAACUUCCAUUGGUACCUUAUUUGUUUUAAUUAUUCCUUUUGCUUUUAGGAUUCUAUUGUGCCUUGCUUUUUACAAGUAAGUUGCCAAGAUAACUCUUCCAACAUUUAUGGCCAUAGUUUCCGUGUGAGCUUUCAUACCUUACCCUCACAAACAAUAGAACAAAGACCUCAGGGCAUUCACUUUGAUUACUCACAAAAUCUAAGGAAGAUCAAGUUUAUUAACACAAACAGGCUGCCUGUGUGCCUACUAGUAUUUACAUAUCUCAAAAUUUAGCCAAAGAUUUAUUGUGAUCUUUUUGUUCAAUAUAUAAUUAAGGUGAAGCAGGGUCAGGAAUGUGGUUUCAGAUUAAUGCUGGAUAAAAAGCUCGAUAAGUUUUGAUUGGGUUAUGGUCCAAAGAGAGAAAAUGAUCCGUCUGUUUCAUGACUUCUGAUAGACCAGGCCUGUUCCCCUCGUUGGUAAGUGCUGUGCACUGGAACUCUUGGUUAUGGACCCUUUUUCAAGAAGGAAGACUUGAGUGAUGAUAUCAAUGAGGUAAACUACUUAAAAUUAAUUUUGAUAACUGAUACAUUUCUUUUCUUAUAAUGAAGGAACCGUCAGGAGUUGCUAUUGAAUGUUACAUAUUAUGGUAAACAGUGCUCAAAAUGUAAGUAAGUUUUAAGCCACAGAGAGAUAUAUUGAAGUUGUAAAGAUAAUUUCAGUUCUAAAUAGACUGUCUUAUGCACCCAAUUGCUAUGGCACCCUACCCUUUGGUAACAAAAAGAAGAGUUGCUUAGGUCAGCAAUUAUAUGUCACUUACAAAGAGUGUAGAGAUUUAGUUUGUUGAAGUUAAUAAGUCUUGUUUCAAUAUAAGAUAUGUGACAGUAUGCAGAUUGUUUAAGUUAAGAAGUCAUAUAUAGAAAACGGAAAUAUCCGCAGAAGGGACUGGAACCAAUUAUCUCAACUACCACAGAUUUGUGCUCUACGAGUAGGGCCAUAUGAUUGUACCCACAAGAAAUCUGACAUCAAGAUAUAUGAAGACUGUUCACUGAAUCCAUGCACACUAUGCUUAUCAUGGCAUGCUUGGUUAUUGAAGUAUUGAGGACUGAACUGACUCAUUUAAAUUUAUUUGAAGAUCUUAACAGUAACCACAUUCACAAUAUUUUGCAUUCUAUGAUAUGCUUGUUCUGUGAUAGUUCAUGGUUGAUCGUCCUUGCAUAGUUGGUUCAAAUGUUCUGUGAUAGUUCAUGGUUGAUCGCCCUUGCAUAGUUGGUUCAAAUGUUGUUCCAAAUACAAGUUUCAUGUAGAACACUAGGAGGUUUGUAUACUGUUUACUGCCUAAAUUUCUUUGUACACAUGCACUAGCACUAGUGGAGUAUUAGACUGCAUGAUGAAUGCUUUUACAGUGAAUAACUCAAUACAUGUAGAAGUGAUAAUUGUUGCAAAUUUUCUUGAUGUGCUAGAUCAUUGCUUCCAUGUCUCCUAAGAGUUCAUUUGUCUGUUCACAAGAGUUUAUCCCAUCCCAUGGUGAUGCAAAGUGCAAUCCUGAACCAUUUUCUGCUUUAACGAGCUUUCAGUGUGCAAUCAGCUCGAGUUCACCUCUGCUCACAGAUAAGUUGUCAGCUGUCUGUAAAGGGGAAAUAUCAGGUAAAGAUGUCAUUUAGGUGAAAAGGUGUGAAAUUCAAAUGUGGAAGUUUCCAAAAGUUCUCAUGGAAUACCAGAUAUAGUACAUGCCCUCCCCUAUCUUUUUUUUUAGAAACUUUGACCAUUUCAUUUUCAUGGAAUUCUCAUCAGAAUUGCAAUUUCUCACGGUCUCAUCUGAUAUUCUGCCAUCUGUAGAAGUAGUGAAAAUUUCUGAAAAUUUACUAGAUCUGUGACUUUGCAAUGGCAAAGCAACUGCUGUAUUAUUGAUGGUCUUUAUAUGUACUAUAUUCAUCAUUUGAUUACCUUAGUUCUUUCAAGAGCUCAUAUGAAUGUGCUUCUUAGUUCAGGACUUGCAAGUGACUUUUAAGUAGAUAAUAAUGUUGGGGUUACUAAGCUCUUUCCUUGCAUUUGUAGCAGUAAGAUUGACAGGAAUGUUUGUACAGAACUUUUUCAAUUGCCUCAUCCAUGUAGCAUACCUUUCGUCUGUUCUAGUGUUUAGUUUUGAGUUACAAUUAGAUAUUCUAGCAGGUGUUAUGUAUGAAAGAUGUGUCAGUCAUGGUAGGGCCCUAGACUACAAGUACUAUCAAAAUCUUCUAAUGCUACUAAGUAAACAUUCUUUGCUCUUUUUAUAAUUUCAGUGCAAUCAUUCCAAAACAUUAUCUUAGUGGCAAUGGAGUGAUCUAGCAUUCUAAGUAAGAUAUUUGUAAUGAAAAUUACAAUUUGUUCCAUAACAUUAUGUAUGUGGUUGGAUAGUUCUUUUUGUCAAUCUUUAGUUUUGUAUUCGUGGCCUUGUGCAGCUACUAUACUUGGUAUAGGUCCAGCUGCUUUGAAUAUACUUAGAACUAGAGUGAUAGUUCUGCGUUGACAACCACCUUUUUCAGAAGGAACAUGGGUAUAUGUAUAGCUGCUGCUUUCUGAUGAGCAAGCCAGAAGCUUAUGUUAAAGUGAAGUACAAGCAAAUAAUUUAUACAUGGUGUAGGAAGAUGUACUCUACCUUGUCCCAUUACUUUCCAUUGAGGUGAUGUUGUUCUUGCGUGUUUUGGAAAUUCUGCUGAUGUUGAUCCAAUUAUUUUACAGUUAAAGUGAUGUUGAGGCUUGGAGCUGGACAGCUGGAAACUUGUUUAGAAUUAGAUCCAAGACUAGUUCAGGCCAGGGCCAGCUAUUUGUUGGUAGUCUAUCGUUUCAGUGCUCAUCAGCAGCUGUUGUUAUUCCAUCUUUUUUUUUUCCUUGCAUGACAAACAGAGCUAUUGUGAUGUUGUACAAUAGCAGCAACACCAUUACUGUCAGACUAAGUGUAAAAAUGAAAUGGGCCACCUCUCUAGUGCUUCCUCGUUUCUGGAUGAUAACGGAUUUUUGAGAGAGAUCUUGAUAAUAGUGACCGAGUAUAUCUGCACAGUGAAUAAAUCUGGAAACUGCUCAACUCGUAAUCCAUAGCAGUAUAGCGUCGCAGAGCAUCAAGAAUCAGAUAUGGACAUGGCAGUUUCCAUGGAAGGCAACCCGGAGUGUCCACUUUUGCAAGGCAAAUAAAUGAUCCAACUGGAAGACCUGUUCCGGGAAGGCUCUGCGCUCUGCAGCCUGCAUGUGGGAUCAGUUAUAGGCCGUGCUUCUCUUAUCUGACAUGUACAUCUCAUUGUCCAGCAGAUUCAGAGAAGCUGGACCCGAGCAGCCGCGGGAUCAGGCGACAGCGGCGCGACCGGCACGGGGACCAGGCGGCUGCUGCUCCGGUCCCGGUGGUGUCCAUCUGCCCUCUGCCGCCGCCGCUGCCGACAACGACGUCGUCAGCCACAAUGAUCGUGCGUUAUGGGUCUAAGAUGGCUGCUGAUGCUCUGGGGCACCGAGCAAAAGCAUAGUGAAGUCUUUGACCAUUGAUAUGAGCCGUGGCAGCGGCAAUAUCCUUCUGCUACUCUGCACAUGCACUGGGCAUUCCACCAGUACAGAGCGCAUGCCUUUUGCAAGGAGCACUUCCACAUAUGCUAAGAGUCUCAUCUCACCAAACAGUAAGUUCCAUGCACCAAUGAUUUAUCCUAGAGAUCUCCUUCAUUGAGACUCGUGCACCACCGACCAGUUCAUGCGAAACCGCUCAAGGAAAGGCGAGCAAACUACUCUUACUUGAACCCGUUACAGUCAACCUCUGGCGCGCGUCUACACCGAGUCACCGACUAGUUCUCAGUCCUACAUGCAGUUCUCAGACGUCACGGCAUUUGGGUGCUGCUUGCUUCAGCCGCCAGAGCAGAAGCAGCCAACCGCAUUCAUGAGGAUGCAUGAACACUGAUCAGUGGCGAGGUACGUGCAUGACAACAAACAAACCUACUUCUCUCUCUGAUUUGUUGUGGACCUGUCGUGUGUAGCUUUCGUCUCUACAUCCAUGAUAGGUUCCACUCACCUGCCCAUUUGGAGCAACUGAGAUGUUUCUGAGUCCGUCCCUAUCGUGCCAUGUGACAGGCAUGUGAUGAUCGAUGAUAGGUUGGUACGUAGAUAGAGCUCAAGAAGCCGCGCGUUAUGAAUAGGGUAAGUAGGUAAGAGCUCAAGAAACAGCAGUACGUUGUGAUUAGGCACUUGACUGGAGUGAAGCAUCGCGUAAGCCGUGCACUUGGCACCUAAAUGAUCGUUAGAGAAUCCGAUUAGCUGAUGACUUUCAGAGUGUCGAUUACGACACUUGGGUAUACAGUGCACUAGAGCUGGUACUCUUGUUGUUGAUAUUGGGAAAGUCAAUCCUGACUUGCUUUCAAGUACCAGUAAAAUUUCUUUGGCGGCUGCAUGGAGGUUUCGAGUGGUUGUGAGGUCCCUCUCCCAGAAUGAGUGAUCUGAUGCUGACAGAUAAUGGAGCAGUGCCUUUUUGGCAAGGAAACGAUGAUGGGACUGGGUUUCAGUUAAGGUCAUCAGUUCAUGUGUCAGCAAUGUGUUAGCUAGCUAGCUGGUAAAUAUAUCAUAUAUGACGGCAAUACAAGUCCGUACCAGUACUCUACUACCCCGCUGUGACAAAAUAUUUCGAUGCCAAUUUACCGAAGGAAGCAGGUAAUCAAAGAUUAGAUACCUCUCUAUGUUCUGGUGCUACCAUUCAGUGAUGCCCUCAACUCGUGCAUAGCAAAUUGUGUUUAGCUCAGAGUAUAAUAUGGCCUGCCAAAUUAAUUUCUUGUCAACGCACCAUAUGAUCUUUUAUGAAAGUUUAGCAAGAAUCAAGGGCAACCCAAAGUACUUGAUAAGCAUGCCUACCAUAGAGCUACGCAAGCACUAGUAAACAAAUCAACUAAACUUUUUUUUAUUUUUUGCAAGAUACAAAUCAGCUAAACUAUGAGUCCUCAUGUAACUAGUUAAGUUGUGCAUGCGGCCUAUUACUUGAUUUGUAAUACAGCAAGCACUGCCAUGCAUGGUGAAUUGGUUAUUUUGAUAUUGCAAUUUAGCGAAUAACUUAAGCUAAGGUCAACCCCAUUUCUGUCUUUAACCCAUGCCAGCUCUAUCCAGCCCUUUAGUAGUUAGUGUAACUAAUUUCUACAACUUUCUUUUUUCGUUGUCACGUGCUGAUCAUGCCUUAAGAACACGCAAAAGAAAUAUCUGCCCUUUGGAUCUAGGACCGGGUAACGUGUUAAUUUGUCAGUAUUUUGUUGUGAGGGAAUCGUUAGUAAGUACCAACUUGCCCUUAUUUUGUUGUGUUCUAUGUAAUUAAGAAGCAUAUGAAUUAUGAACCAUUGAUGGUGUUGGAGGUUAUGAACUGGCACUGAUAGUCGGUCGUGGAUUAUAUGUUCUGUGUCAGUGCAUGCCUCUCCUGGCAACAAUUUUAGCAUUGUUCCUUCCCCAUGGAUAAUUGAAGUCACAUCUGCUUCUUUGACUGUAUAUAAUGUACUCCCGUUGUUUAGAAAUAGUAGACGUAUUUUUUUGACUUGGUCUUCGAAGUUGAAUUUUCACUAAGUUUUUCUUAUAAAAUAUAUCAUCUAUAGUUACAAAACUUAUAUAGUGUAAAAUCAUUUUGAAUUGUAAAUCUAGUUGUAUAAUUUUUAUAUACUAGACAUUCUUAUAAUUUGAUUAAAUGUUAAUCAAAGUAUAUAAAGUUUGAUUUUUUUCAAAAAAAAUAUGCCUACUAUUUCUGAGUGGAGGAAGUAAUUCAGAAGUCAGAACUGAUGUGCAAGGUGACCAACUCCUUAACCGCACAUAAUGAUAUGCCACGUCUCGCAAAUUUCACGACAGCAUCGUGCGACUGCUAGAUGAUCAAGCGGCAGAAGGGCAUGGGGAGGAACACUGCUUGAGAGUUGAGAAGCAGUUGUUUGGUGCAAGUUUGUCUCAUCUUUAAACAUAGCAUAAUUCAAUCCACGGCGGUAUGCAAAUUAUUGUGCAAUAACUGGAGGGCCGGGAUUGGUUUGUCAUUCAGUCUUGUUUUCAGAGUUCUGCAUUAGUUGGUUUUUGUCAUGAAAGAUGUAAGUCAUUCUGAGUAUUGCUUUCUUUAUUUAUGAGAGUCAGGCAUAUCCUGUUGUUCA